CCUACGGGAGGCUGCAGUGAGGAAUAUUGGUCAAUGGGCGGGAGCCUGAACCAGCCAAGCCGCGUGAAGGAAGAAGGCGCUAGGCGUCGUAAACUUCUUUUGUCGGGGAACAAAGGGCGCCACGCGUGGCGUUGUGAGUGUAGCCGAAGAAAAAGCAGCGGCAACCUCCGUGCCAGCGGCCGCGGUAAUAGGGAGGAUGCGAGCGUUAUCCGGAUUUAUUGGGUUUAAGGGGUGCGUAGGCGGUCCGGAAGGUCAGCGAGAAAAGCCCGGGGUUCAACGCCGGCGAGCCGUUGAAACUGGCGGACUAGAGACGGCGAGAAGUACGCGGAAUGCGCGGUGUAGCGGUGAAAUGCAUAGAUAUCGCGAAGAACUCCGAUUGCGAAGGCAGCGUACCGGCGCCGGACUGACGCUGAGGCACGAAAGCGUGGGUAUCGAACAGGAUUAGAUACCCCGGUAGUC
rnacentral:rRNA from 1 species